UGCGUAGGUGGUUUCUUAAGUCAGAGGUGAAAGGCUACGGCUCAACCGUAGUAAGCCUUUGAAACUGGGAAACUUGAGUGCAGGAGAGGAGAGUGGAAUUCCUAGUGUAGCGGUGAAAUGCGUAGAGAUUGGGAGGAACACCAGUGGCGAAGGCGACUAACUGGACUGUAACUGACGCUGAGGCGCGAAAGUGUGGGGAGGCAAAACA
rnacentral:rRNA from 1 species